AAAUGGUGCUGCACACGUCGAAAAGGCUCAGAAAUCUGUCCUUAGAAAAGGGCAAGAGCACCAAAGGAAUUAUAACUGCCAUGGCCUCUAUGGCACCUUUGUCACAGGAGCAUGCUGACAUGGACAUAUUCACUGGAGAGGCCAUCGAUGUUGUCAUCGGAUCCUCAAGAGAUGACGGAAAGGUGUAUGCUGGAUCCGGGCAAUGAAUAGAAAAGGCUGCUUGGGGGACAUUGUUGCGGUCUACGUCUGACUAUGUUCUGCCGUAUGGCGUCCACAACGUAUUGGAUGCCAGAUGAGCUUAA